AUGCGUGGCUUUGAGGAUGAUAUACAGUUGUUGUUAUUUCAUGUUAUUUAAGUCAGUAUCCUCCAGGUGGCCCCACGGGUCACAGUGAAUAAUUUCCUGCCUCGGCUGUCAAGGCCAGUCACGCAAAACUGGCAACGCUGGCGGGGAAAGAGGAAGCGAGGGCAGACAACUUGGGCCCGCCACCGCUUCCCCUCCAGCCCCAAGUGAUCCAAACCUGCGGCCAUCGCUCAAUCGAACUUGGCAAUGCGCACAACCAGGAGGGAGCAAGAAGAGGCGAGAAUCUGUUCAAAUCCUCAAACAGCGGCCUAACAAACGAAACUACGCCGACGACUAACCACAUCAAGCGUAUCGAAGGAGCAGACGAAGACCGGCACAUUAUACCAGGGAUCGAGCAUAUUUUC
rnacentral:sRNA from 1 species